AUUGAACGCUGGCGGCAGGCCUAACACAUGCAAGUCGAGCGGAUGAAGGGAGCUUGCUCCUGGAUUCAGCGGCGGACGGGUGAGUAAUGCCUAGGAAUCUGCCUGGUAGUGGGGGAUAACGUCCGGAAACGGGCGCUAAUACCGCAUACGUCCUGAGGGAGAAAGUGGGGGAUCUUCGGACCUCACGCUAUCAGAUGAGCCUAGGUCGGAUUAGCUAGUUGGUGGGGUAAAGGCCUACCAAGGCGACGAUCCGUAACUGGUCUGAGAGGAUGAUCAGUCACACUGGAAGUGAGACACGUUCCAGACUCCUACGGGAGGCAGCAGUGGGGAAUAUUGGACAAUGGACGAAAGGCUGAUCCAGCCAUGCCGCGUGUGUGAAGAAGGUCUUCGGAUUGUAAAGCACUUUAAGUUGGGAGGAAGGGCAGUAAGUUAAUACCUUGCUGUUUUGACGUUACCAACAGAAUAAGCACCGGCUAACUUCGUG
rnacentral:rRNA from 1 species